rnacentral:rRNA from 1 species
UGGUCGCGUAGCCGGGCUUCGGCUCGGUUGCAAGGCCAGCUACUCCUUUGAGCACGGACUUUCAAGGGUGCUUGCCGUAUGCGGAACCGCCCACCACGUCUCGUUGCGUGGUCACCCACAGGCUCGACUGUCGAUCGCGUGUUCACCUCGUUCGCAGAGAUGUGUUGGUGUCUCGCCUCCCUUCUAGGAGACGGGACGACACUAGCGGCGAGGCUAGUGUAAUUGAACCGGACGGCGACUGAGAUAAACCUGGUAUGAUCCACUUGCGACGAGACGCU